UUAACUUAAAUUUGUAUGGAGUUGGAAAUUUGCCUACGUAUGCCUCUAGGGGCGCUGUUCCAACUGCAUACAAAUUUGCGUUA
rfam:Bombyx mori DNA, contig: Bm_scaf1_contig831, strain: p50T/Dazao, build 2, whole genome shotgun sequence.